GAGUGAAGCGGGAAAAGCUCAAAUUUAAAAUCUGGCUGCCUUUGGCCGUCCGAGUUGUAAUUUAGAGAAGCGUCUUCCGCGCUGGACCAUGCACAAGUCUCCUGGAAUGGAGCGUCAUAGAGGGUGAGAAUCCCGUCUUUGGCAUGGAUGCCCGGUGCUUCUGUGAUGCGCUCUCGAAGAGUCGAGUUGUUUGGGAAUGCAGCUCAAAAUGGGUGGUGAACUCCAUCUAAAGCUAAAUAUUGGCGAGAGACCGAUAGCGAACAAGUACCGUGAGGGAAAGAUGAAAAGCACUUUGGAAAGAGAGUGAAACAGUACGUGAAAUUGUUGAAAGGGAAACGCUUGAAGUCAGUCGCGUCGACCGAGACUCAGCCUUGCCUUGGCUUGGUGUACUUCUCGGCCAGACGGGUCAGCAUCAAUUUCGCCCCUUGGAUAAUGGCAGGGGAAAGGUGGCACCUUUACGGGUGUGUUAUAGUCUCUUGUCGCAUGCGGGGGGUGGGAUUGAGGAACUCAGCGUGCACCUCGGUGUCGGGGCUUCGGCCCACGUCACACGCUUAGGAUGCUGGCGUAAUGGCUUUAAACGACCCG
rnacentral:rRNA from 1 species